rnacentral:misc_RNA from 1 species
CGAGCGUCAUUUAAACCUUCAAGCAUUGCUUGGUGUUGGGUGCUGUUCGCCUUUGCGAACUCACCUCGAAUACAUUGGCAGCCAGCUAUUGGGUGUUGGAGCGCAGCACAUUUUUGCGUUCUAGGCCCGAGUAGCCGGCGUCCAAAAAGCUUAUUUUAACGUUUGACCUCGGAUCAGGUAGGGAUACCCGCUGAACUUAA